GAGUUUGAUCGUGGCUCAGAGCGAACGCUGGCGGCAGGCUUAACACAUGCAAGUCGAGCGGGCGUAGCAAUACGUCAGCGGCAGACGGGUGAGUAACACGUGGGAACGUACCUUUUGGUUCGGAACAACUGAGGGAAACUUCAGCUAAUACCGGAUAAGCCCUAACGGGGAAAGAUUUAUCGCCGAAAGAUCGGCCCGCGUCUGAUUAGCUAGUUGGUGAGGUAACGGCUCACCAAGGCGACGAUCAGUAGCUGGGUCUGAGAGGAUGAUCAGCCACACUGGGACUGAGACACGGCCCAGACUCCUACGGGAGGCAGCAGUGGGGAAUAUUGGACAAUGGGGGCAACCCUGAUCCAGCCAUGCCGCGUGAGUGAUGAAGGCCCUAGGGUUGUAAAGCUCUUUUGUGCGGGAAGAUAAUGACGGUACCGCAAGAAUAAGCCCCGACUAACUUCGUGGCAGCCG
rnacentral:rRNA from 1 species